GGUCCCAUAGCUCAAAUGGAUAGAGCCCAGGAUUACGGAUCCUGCGAUUCCGGUUCGACUCCGGAUGGGACUU
rnacentral:tRNA from 1 species